CCUACGGGAGGCAGCAGUGGGGAAUAUUGGGCAAUGGGCGCAAGGCUGACCCAGCAACGCCGCGUGAAGGAAGAAGGCUUUCGGGUUGUAAACUUCUUUUCUCAGGGACGAAGAAAGUGACGGUACCUGAGGAAUAAGCCACGGCUAACUACGUGCCAGCAGCCGCGGUAAUACGUAGGUGGCAAGCGUUAUCCGGAUUUAUUUGGGGUAAAGGGCGUGUAGGCGGGAGAGAAAGUCAGAUGUGAAAACUCAGGGCUCAACCCUGAGCCUGCAUUUGAAACUGUGUUUCUUGAGUGCUGGGGAGGCAAUCGGAAUUCCGUGUGUAGCGGUGAAAUGCGUAGAUAUACGGAGGAACACCAGUGGCGAAGGCGGAUUGCUGGACAGUAACUGACGCUGAGGCGCGAAAGCGUGGGGAGCAAACAGGAUUAGAUACCCCUGUAGUC
rnacentral:rRNA from 1 species